UGGGGUGUAGCUCCGUGGCAGAGUGCCUGCCUCACAUGUGUGAGACGCUGGGUUCGAUCCUCAGCACCACAU
rfam:Ictidomys tridecemlineatus contig061462, whole genome shotgun sequence.